AGCAGCCGCGGUAAUUCCAGCUCCAAUAGCGUAUAUUAAAGUUGUUGCAGUUAAAAAGCUCGUAGUUGAAUUUCGGGGUCAGUAGGCUGGUCGUGCCACAGGUAUGUACUGGUCUCACUGAUUCCUCCUUCCUGAUGAACCGUAAUGCCAUUAAUUUGGUGUUGCGGGGAAUCUGGACUGUUACUUUGAAAAAAUUAGAGUGUUUAAAGCAGGCUAACGCUUGAAUACAUUAGCAUGGAAUAAUGAAAUAGGACGUUCGGUCUUAUUUUGUUGGUUUCUAAGAUUGACGUAAUGAUUAAUAGGGAUAGUUGGGGGGCAUUAGUAUUCAAUUGUCAGAGGUGAAAUUCUUGGAUUUAUUGAAGACUAACUACUGCGAAAGCAUUUGCCAAGGAUGUUUUCAUUAAUCAGGAACGAAAGUUAGGGGAUCGAAGACGAUCAGAUACCGUCGUAGUCUUAACCAUAAACUAUGCCGACUAGGGAUCGGAUGAUGUUAAUUUUUAAUGACUCAUUCGGCGCCUUA
rnacentral:rRNA from 1 species